CCUACGGGAGGCUGCAGUCGAGAAUCAUUCACAAUGGGGGAAACCCUGAUGGUGCGACGCCGCGUGGGGGAAUGAAGGUCUUCGGAUUGUAAACCCCUGUCAUGUGGGAGCAAAUUAAAAAGAUAGUACCACAUGAGGAAGAGACGGCUAACUCUGUGCCAGCAGCUGCGGUAAUACAGAGGUCUCAAGCGUUGUUCGGAAUCACUGGGCGUAAAGCGUGCGUAGGCGGUUUCGUAAGUCGUGUGUGAAAGGCGCGGGCUCAACCCGCGGACGGCACAUGAUACUGCGAGACUAGAGUAAUGGAGGGGGAACCGGAAUUCUCGGUGUAGCAGUGAAAUGCGUAGAUAUCGAGAAGAACACUCGUGGCGAAGGCGGGUUCCUGGACAUUAACUGACGCUGAGGCACGAAGGCCAGGGGAGCGAAAGGGAUUAGAUACCCUUGUAGUC
rnacentral:rRNA from 1 species